UUGGCCACAGACUGGGGGUUAUCUCUCUUGUUACCGCUAUGUCAAUAUUAUCUCGGUAUAAAAGAUCUUAAUUGUCGUUCAACUAUUCAGUCUUAACGAUUUCUUAAGUGAGUCUUCAUUAACACAACCAUGACUAAGUUAAUGCUUGUCUUCGCUCUAGUGGCUCUGUUCACAAUAACUGCUGCUAAACCACAAGUUAACGUUGUGGAAGGCGUUACUCCUGGCCCAGUAAAUGUAGUGGGCGGAGCACCUGACCCAGUUCAAGUGGUCGAUGGGGACAGCCAAGUGAACAUCGUUGACGGCGCCCGACCGGCGCAAACGCGGGAUGGCGAAUAGAAAAAAAAACCUUAUUAAUACUGAGUAUGAUUUCAUAAAAACGUUUUAAAUUAUAAUUACUAUUACGAAAAUAUUGUAUUAAGUUUACUUAAUACAAUAUUAAACCUUAAACUUAUAUAUAAAUAAAUUUGUUAAUAAAACGUUAUUUAUUAAUUAAGAAGCAUGUAUUAUUUCUAUUAUUCGUAAUAAUAUCAAGAAAUGAAUUUAAACAUUGACCUCGGAGUCAAAUAAUGAUAUUAGAUACGUUUCUAAAAUUAUACACGCACACACAUAUUGAGAUUUUUUGCGAUUUGAUUUAAAUGUAAUCGUUGUUGUAGAUUCAAAUAAACUUCCAGUACACGUAUUCUAAAUAAGACAAAUAAAUUACUGGAUAUUUUGCCCAGUACCAUCCGUUCGUAUUUUAAAUAUGAAAAGAAAAAAACAUUUUUAGAUUCACCUAAUCACGCCACGCGAUAAGGACGAAUGCGCUUAGAUCCUGUGACCCAGAGGUAGUUACCCCAGGGAGUUAAAACAAAGAUAAAGGAGAAUUCCCAGAGGCCCUUAUCAACCCUUUUCCCAAAGGCUUUGAAGACCAUGAUUGAUUGAGACUCACCUAAUUAUAACAUGUCAAAAAGGCGCCGGGUGACUUUUCCAAAUGUGCGUGGACGGUCGAAUAGGAAAUAGUAAAAAAUACUAAACGGAGCCUAUUUUGAUACAAACUAAACUAGAUCUUUAUCUAAGUUUCGAUAUCAGGACUUAUCUAAAUUUGAUCUUAAAAAUCGAUACUUGUAGCUGAUAUGAGUAAAAUAACAAAUUAAGAGAAUAGCGUGAAAACGGAAUAUGAUACGAUAUACGAUGAUACGGUAGAGGAAAGAGCAAUUUAAGAGGUUACUCUUUUCCAGUUGAAAAAAUAUAGACUGAACAAUAAUCAGAAAUAUUUACGAUAACACUAAAUAAAUGAACAAAUUUAAAAUAAAAAAUAGACUCAUAGGAUUUUACAAUAGUUUAAAUAUAUAGAACAAUUUAUUCCCGUGAUUUAAAUAGUUAUAUAGCUAUAUACAACAGUAAAACUUUUUUAAUCUAAAGUCGAGCUUUUUACUUUAUCAUUUACGUACACAUGUUUUAUUUAAAUUAUAAGAUUUUUUUAUUUUGACGUUGUAAUUUGUAAUACAACAGUUACUACGGAAUACUAGCACUUUAAUCAAUUUAAUUUCCAUAAAAUAACCACGUUGAGUGGCGGCCGUAUAAUAACUAAAUAAAUAAAUAAAUAACAAUUUUUUCUAUGCUAAUAAUUUUUGGAUUUCAAAAUAUACAUCUCUAUUUAUGGCAAACGCUAUAAUAAAAAAAAUAGUGUAAUAGUUAUAUCCAUAGGCACUAUCAGAGAAGACGCUACGAAACGUGAAUAGUUAUAUUAAAAUUAAGUCAAAGAAAAAAUAUGGCAAAUAGAAGAUGCCGCUUCGAACAAUGUCUUACCAAUACCUACUUAUAAUAAAAUUGUAACUAAACGAUGUCUGUACAUAGAAGAUAUUUGAGUUAAAUUGACAUGAAAGGUUUAGAUAAGAACAAUAAAAGCCAAAACUACUGUACUAAAUUCAACUAAAUUGUAGUAAAUCAAACUGUUCAUAAUUACUCCUCUCCAUCCAAAGGUUGCCUAGAAGAGAUCGCUUUAAGCGAUAAGGUCGCCCAUUGUUUUCUCAUUGUGAUUAUUUCUUGUAAUUGUUUAUAUUUAUCAUAAGUUUACUAUUGUAAUCUUUUGUAGGAAACAAUAAAUCUAUCUAUCUAUCUAUAUUGAA